rnacentral:misc_RNA from 1 species
UUCCACUCCCUGACUGCACUCCCACACAACUCCUUCCUCAUCUUCUUGCUUGAAGUUGUCCCUAUUUUGCCUUCAGCUUUGGUAGAAUGCUGGUUGCCUAUGAGGAUGAUGGAGAGAUUUGAAUGCGAAUCGGCGAUUUUGGGGACAAGUUCGAUAGUAGUGAAGGUGAAUAAGGGUUUGGAGCCAGCGAUUUGCUUGGCUUUCCCUGGACAACCAGAAUUCUACCAAAGCUGAUUUGGAGAAAAUUCUUGUGUUUCUAUCAUUGUGUGCCAUCAUCUUGUGUUUCUGGUUCUGAAGCUUUUGCAGACUGAUUUGAGGAAAAUUUCUUCCGCCGAUCUCGUGCUCUUUGUAAGUUCCAGUUCCAUCAACUCUCUCUGAGUCAUAUAUAUAUUUUUCCUUUUUAUUUUUUUAGUCAUUUUUCUGGAAAUUUAAUUGAUUUUCUUAUAUUUCAUCUAAUGUUUUAUGAUGGACUAUUAACUGACAAACGUGAGGGUGGGGUUAUAACCCA